UAAACGGCUCUUUUCAGAGCCACCCAAAUUUAAAAAAGAGCUUAU
rfam:Ciona savignyi cont_6542, whole genome shotgun sequence.